AACGAACGCUGGCGGCAGGCUUAACACAUGCAAGUCGAACGAGAUCUUCGGAUCUAGUGGCAGACGGGUGAGGAACACGUGGGAACAUCCCUUUCAGUUCGGAAUAACGUUGGGAAACUAACGCUAAUACCGGAUACGUCCUUCGGGAGAAAGAUUUAUCGCUGAAAGAUUGGCCCGCGUCUGAUUAGCUAGUUGGUGAGGUAAUGGCUCACCAAGGCUACGAUCAGUAGCUGAUCUGAGAGGAUGAUCAGCCACAUUGGGACUGAGACACGGCCCAAACUCCUACGGGAGGCAGCAGUGGGGAAUAUUGGACAAUGGGCGCAAGCCUGAUCCAGCCAUGCCGCGUGAGUGAUGACGGCCUUCGGGUUGUAAAGCUCUUUUGUCCGGGAAGAUAAUGACUGUACCGGAAGAAUAAGCUCCGGCAAACUUCGUGCCAGCAGCCGCGGUAAGAC
rnacentral:rRNA from 1 species